UUUACUGAUUACAACUGUGUGGUCGAAUACUACAGAACUAGAGUAAACGUAUCUAUUUUGAUCCUUAAAAAAAAAAUUGCAUUUUAAUAUCUAUUCACUUUUGUAUAUUUCUACUUCAAACAAAUAAACGUUUUAUUAUACGUUAUUCGAGAACCGUGUACGUGCAUAUCCUGCAGAUUAUAUAUAGUAGAUCGACGAUAUGACCAUUAGUACAAAAUUUCAACAGAAACAGCGAAUUCCUCUCCACCCUUCUAGCUGGAUCAGCGAACAACGUAAUCCCGUGGCCUGUGUCAGCUGACACGACCUAUCUUAUAGGAGCGCAAUGUAAAUGAUCAGCCAACACCGCUUCUACCUUCCGCUUUGCUGUAGGAUACCGUAGAUUUCCACGGCAUUUGAAUUUUUUUUGCCGGUCUCGAUUUACUGUAGUAAUUAUAAAAAUUGUCUUCAAUAUGUUUGAAAUUUUCUUACACUAACUCAAACUCAGAGUCGAACGCUUUUAUUUAUAAAUAAAUAAACUAUUUUUAAUAGUUUGUUUUCA